UUCCUGUUCCUGUUCCAAGGAACUCCCAGA
rnacentral:sRNA from 1 species